AAUGACCAAGCAACAUAUUAGAGACUCCAUCGUAGAGAUAUUUCAAAAUGCACAACAUGGAAAGAUUAAUAAUACGCCUCUCCAUUUUUAUUCUGCCAUAUCUGCGUCAAAGUUCAGAUACACAAAUUGCUCUCUCUCAAAGCAAAAAGUUCAGGUACAGAGCUCUUCCACGUCCAUCUCUUUUAUCGGGAACACAACAUGUUGCCUGAACAAAGAGACAAAACAAAAAACAAUUUUACAAAGGAUCUCCGCUAAACAGCAGGAUCCUCAGUACCGGAGAUCGUUUUAGUUAUUUUCAAUUGAUGAGAACGAUUGCCUCCAGAACUCACCACACAAUUCAUUUAGCAGCAACCUGUCAAACGUUUCUUCGGCUGCCAUAUCCUUUCUUCCUCUUCUAAAGCCCUCUCGAGUCUCGAAAUACUCCCUAUUGACGAAGAAGUGUUCUCUGAAGAUGAAGUGUUGCUAAUCUGAAAUACUGCAGUCGAUAUUCAGAUAAGGGCGGAAGGUUACCAGGUUGUGAGGUGUAAUAGUAGGAGAUUGUAAUAAUCCAGCUAGACGAGUGUAUGGGCCAGCUCAUUCGGGUGGCUAUAAAUAUGUAAACUGAUAAUGGCAGAAAGGGAUUUUUUGCUGGAGAGAAACAUAAGCGAAAUAGAACGAGCAAUGAACCUGUGCUUACCUAUUGUUCUUGUUCUUGAACGCUGCGUCUUCGUCAGGCGACAGACACCGACUCACGCCACGCGGUGGCUCAUUGUCGGCAAAGGGACGUUGCAUCCGCCUUCCAUUGGCCGCCGCCACCGCAUCCUCGCGCGUGGCACCAACACCACGAGUCUGCAAUCCGCCGUCGCUAGGCCGAACACCUGUUUGAUCUCAGUACCUAUGUCUUUACAAUAUAGCC
rnacentral:lncRNA from 1 species